UACGUGCCAGCAGCCGCGGUAAUACGUAGGGCGCAAGCGUUAUCCGGAAUUAUUGGGCGUAAAGAGUUCGUAGGCGGUUUGUCGCGUCUGCUGUGAAAUCCCGAGGCUCAACCUCGGGCCUGCAGUGGGUACGGGCAGACUAGAGUGCGGUAGGGGAGAUUGGAAUUCCUGGUGUAGCGGUGGAAUGCGCAGAUAUCAGGAGGAACACCGAUGGCGAAGGCAGAUCUCUGGGCCGUAACUGACGCUGAGGAGCGAAAGGGUGGGGAGCAAACAGGCUUAGAUACCCUGGUAGUCCACCCCGUAAACGUUGGGAACUAGUUGUGGGGUCCAUUCCACGGAUUCCGUGACGCAGCUAACGCAUUAAGUUCCCCGCCUGGGGAGUACGGCCGCAAGGCUAAAACUCAAAGGAAUUGACGGGGACCCGCACAAGCGGCGGAGCAUGCGGAUUAAUUCGAUGCAACGCGAAGAACCUUACCAAGGCUUGACAUAUACGAGAACGGGCCAGAAAUGGUCAACUCUUUGGACACUCGUAAACAGGUGGUGCAUGGUUGUCGUCAGCUCGUGUCGUGAGAUGUUGGGUUAAGUCCCGCAACGAGCGCAACCCUCGUUCUAUGUUGCCAGCACGUAAUGGUGGGAACUCAUGGGAUACUGCCGGGGUCAACUCGGAGGAAGGUGGGGAUGACGUCAAAUCAUCAUGCCCCUUAUGUCUUGGGCUUCACGCAUGCUACAAUGGCCGGUACAAAGGGCUGCAAUACCGUGAGGUGGAGCGAAUCCCAAAAAGCCGGUCCCAGUUCGGAUUGAGGUCUGCAACUCGACCUCAUGAAGUCGGAGUCGCUAGUAAUCGCAGAUCAGCAACGCUGCGGUGAAUACGUUCCCGGGUCUUGUACACACCGCCCGUCAAGUCAUGAAAGUCGGUAACACCUGAAGCCGGUGGCCUAACCCUUGUGGAGGGAGCUGUCGAA
rnacentral:rRNA from 1 species